rnacentral:rRNA from 1 species
GAUGAACGCUGGCGGCGUGCUUAAUACAUGCAAGUCGAACGGAAAGACCCUGAUUUUGUUUGUUUCUCGUGUGCCGCACGGGUGAGUAACACGUGAGUAACCUGCCCUUGACUUUCGGGUAUCUCUACGAAACUGCGGCUCAUACAGCAUAGGAUCUUCUGCUCCAUGGUGUGGGUUGGAGAGUUUCGGCGGUUGUGGAUGGAUUCGCUGCUUCUGCGCUUCUUUGUGGGGUAUGUGAUUACCAAGGCUUCGACGGGUAGGCUGCCUGAGAGGGUGACCGGCCACAUUGGGACUGAGAUACGGACCAGACGCCUACGGGAGGCAGCAGGCGGGAAUAUUGCAGAAUGGGGGGAAGCCAGAUGCGGCAACGCCGCGUGCGGGGUGACGGCCUUCGAGUUGUAAACCGCUGUCGCCUGUGACGAAGCGUGAGUGACGGUAAUGGGUAAAGAAGCACCGGCUAACUACGUG